rnacentral:misc_RNA from 1 species
AAGUCGUAACAAGGUUUCCGUAGGUGAACCUGCGGAAGGAUCAUUAACGCGAUAGUGCUUCGUGCGCUAGCCGUCCUUGUGUUGUGUUGACGUUUGCAUGCCAGCGGCCACGGCUGCGGGCACAUGCAUUUUUACCCAUUACACUGUUAUUCUGAUCACACGCUCGCAAGAGCACAAACAACCGAAAACUGCCAGCAACGGAUCACUCGGUUCUC